rfam:Schistosoma rodhaini strain Burundi genome assembly, scaffold: SROB_scaffold0013865
GCACUGCUGAAGAGUCCCAUAAUAGGACGAAACGGCCGUCCAGUGC